CAGCAGCCACGGGAAUACGGAGGGUGCAAGCGUUAAUCGGAAUUACUGGGCGUAAAGCGCACGCAGGCGGUCUGUCAAGUCGGAUGUGAAAUCCCCGGGCUCAACCUGGGAACUGCAUUCGAAACUGGCAGGCUAGAGUCUUGUAGAGGGGGGUAGAAUUCCAGGUGUAGCGGUGAAAUGCGUAGAGAUCUGGAGGAAUACCGGUGGCGAAGGCGGCCCCCUGGACAAAGACUGACGCUCAGGUGCGAAAGCGUGGGGAGCAAACAGGAUUAGAUACCCCAGUAGUCCCUGUCUCUUAUAC
rnacentral:rRNA from 1 species